UGCAGGUGUGUUAGAGCAGUUUGGCUUUGGUGAGCAGGCUCUGUUGCAGUAUGGAGCUUUCGGCAUCCUGUCGUGGACCACAGCUUUCAAUUAUUAUGCCACUUGACAGGUAGAAACCUGAUUGUUGGUGGUUGAUAUACAUAACUCGAUUUCUUUCUGGAACUUGACUUGGAAUAAUACACUGAUUCGGCUGAUUCUCUGGGAUUGUCCUCCUCCAGUCUUAUAACACAGCUUUCAACCACGAAACUUGUAAGAUUGGACUUUGCCGAAUUAAGUGGCCAGCGCAGCCCAACUACAAUGCUCAAUGCUGUGAGUGACUCGACAAACCUCUACUUCUCUGCUUCUCCUCAUUUGUCUUCUCCUUCUUCUUCUUCUUCUGCUUCGUUCUUCACUUCUCUUCUGCUACAUCUCUUCUUCAUCCUGUUCUUCUUAUUCUUCGCUGAUCAUCCUUAUAGCUGAAAGCUGACAAUUUGAUAAUGUUUCACACAAAACUGUGAGUUAGUUGGUUUACACCCGUUUGCACAAAAGUCUGUCAUCUUUUAAUCCCGAUUAAAUGCCACGAGAACCAAUCAGAGAAGCCUUCUUCACAGAAAAACCUUCUCUGUUUGGUUCUCGUGGCAUUUAAUCAUGAUUAAAAUUUAACAGCCUUAUGUGCAACUGGGACUUAGAGUGUAGAAUUAUCUCCUUGUCUAGUAGCUGAUGUAGUAUGACAGUAGUUUUGUUGGUUGAUUUCUAAAUUCAAAACUUUGCACCUAUAGUGAGAUUUACAGUAUAUAAAGUCAUUAUUUAUUCAUUUAUACAAUAAGUACAUUAUCGAAAUGAUAGGGAGAGGAAAAAUAAGGUAACCUUGUGCUAUUCCUCUCCCCAAUUUAGAUAACAUAUAGUCCGAAAUAGGUUAAGUCUUGUAGUUCUUCAAUUCACAAAUUUUUCAGUCCUCAAUUUUUUUCACAAAGUAGAUUUUCAAAUUUAGAUGCUUCAAAAGAAAAGUUAGUCAGUGGAAAUGAUAGAACGGCAAAAUGGCCAAUUGUCUAUUGCCACCACAUUGUCUAGUGGAUAGAUGUGAUCAAAAGUAAAGUUAUCCCAGUAUAGCUGAUAUGAUAUUUAUUCAUUAAUGGAUAAAGCAGGUAGAAACCCAUAUUAACCCAAUAUUAAUUGUUUAAUCUGGUUGUUGUCAAUCAAAUUCUUUUAAUUCUUUCUUUACUCAAAUAAACUGAAAAUGAUCAAUAUAUUAUUAUAUCUCAAAUAUAUUAUAUUCAUUAAGAUAUAAUAAUAUAUGUGUUCAUGAUUCAAGAAUACAUUAAUUUUUAUAAUUGAGACCAAAAUUCUGGUAUUUCAUUGUAUUUAUCGAGGGAUUUGAAACUAGUGCGGAGUUGGAAAAGGAUAGAUCUAUCUGGUUUGUUUGAAGACAGACAAGGAUAGCAACACCAAUGUUAAUCAGGUGCUGACUUUAUAACAAGAAUCUCACUAUAGUAGCCACUUGUACAUUGAUAUAGGAUUGGUUCAUUCAACAGAUGCAGGCGUGCGUUUCGUUCUUAGAAAAAAAUUGAAUAUUUCAAACGAUCCGCCUAAGGCCGUUCACACAUUCAUUGUAGGCUCGAACCGAAUCUGAACAGCU